rnacentral:rRNA from 1 species
AUUCCAGCUCCAAUAGCGUAUAUUAAAGUUGUUGCAGUUAAAAAGCUCGUAGUUGGACCUUGGGCCUGGACGGGCGGUCCGCCUCACGGCGUGUACUGUCUUGCCGGGCCUUUCCUCUUGGUGAUCUGUUGUUUCGGCAGCAGGGAACCAGGACCUUUACUUUGAAAAAAUUAGAGUGUUCAAAGCAGGCUCGACGCCGGAAUAUAUUAGCAUGGAAUAAUAAAAUAGGACGUGCGGUUCUAUUUUGUUGGUUUUGAAUCGCCGUAAUGAUUAAUAGGGACAGUCGGGGGCAUUAGUACUCACAUGCUAGAGGUGAAAUUCUUGGAUUUUGUGAAGACUAACUUCUGCGAAAGCAUUUGCCAAGGAUGUUUUCAUUA